rnacentral:lncRNA from 1 species
UGUAAGACCAUGUUUGGGACAUGGCAUCGACUUAAUGGAUGAGACAGUGUAAGAUCAUGUCUGGGACAUAGCAUCGGUAUUAUACCCUAUGUUUAAGGCUUAGUGAAUAUCCGAUAGCUUUCCAAAUGGUUCAACGGUGAGAGUUGCAAGUUAAGCUAAAUGAGAAAUGUUAUGACCAUAUUGUGAGUGGUACAGGUACUUACAUGACUUUGAU